rnacentral:rRNA from 1 species
AUUGAACGCUGGCGGCAGGCUUAACACAUGCAAGUCGAACGAGUGGCGGACGGGUGAGUAAUGCUUGGGAAUCUAGCUUAUGGAGGGGGAUAACUACGGGAAACUGUAGCUAAUACCGCGUACCAUCAGAUGAACCCAUAUGGGAUUAGCUGGUCGGUAAGGUAACGGCUUACCUAGGCUACGAUCCCUAGCUGGUCUGAGAGGAUGAUCAGCCACACUGGGACUGAGACACGGUCCAGACUCCUACGGGAGGCAGCAGUGGGGAAUAUUGCGCAAUGGGGGCAACCUGACGCAGCCAUGCCGCGUGAAUGAAGAAGGCCUUCGGGUUGUAAAGUUCUUUCGGUAGCGAGGCGUUAACUACAGAAGAAGCACCGGCUAACUCCGUGCCAGCAGCCGCGGUAAUAC